rnacentral:snRNA from 1 species
AUACUUACCUGGCAGGGGAGGUACCAUGAUCACGAAGGUGGUUUUCCCAGGGCGAGGCUUAUCCAUUGCACUCCGGAUGUGCUGACCCCUGUGAUUUCCCCAAAUGUGGGAAACUCGACUGCAUAAUUUGUGGUAGUGGGGGACUGCGUUCGCACUUUCCCCUG